rnacentral:rRNA from 1 species
CCUACGGGUGGCAGCAGUGAGGAAUAUUGGUCAAUGGGCGAGAGCCUGAACCAGCCAAGUCGCGUGAAGGAUGACGGCCCUACGGGUUGUAAACUUCUUUUGUCAGGGAGCAACUGGGUCCACGCGUGGGCUUAGCGAGAGCACCUGUAGAAAAAGCACCGGCAAACUCCGUGCCAGCAGCCGCGUUAAUACGGAGGAUGCGCGCGUGAUCUGGAUUUAUUGGGUUUAAAGGGUGCGUAGGCGGAAUAUCAAGUCAGCGGUAAAAUUUCGGGGCUCAACCCAGUCGUGCCGUUGAAACUGCUGUUCUUGAGUGGGCGAGAAGUAUGCGGAAUGCGUGGUGUAGCGGUGAAAUGCAUAGAUAUCACGCAGAACUCCGAUUGCGAAGGCAGCAUACCGGCGCCCAACUGACGCUGAGGCACGAAAGCGUGGGUAUCGAACAGGAUUAGAUACCCUUGUAGUC